UGGAGGCCAAGGAGUAGGGGGUAACCUACUCCCCGCGCACGGUGAGUAACACGUCGCCAACCUACCCCGGGAAGGGGAUAACCCCGGAAACUGGGGAUAAUCCCCAUAGGGGAUGGGUGGUGGAAUCCCCCAUCUCCGAAAAGGACGGUGGGUACUCCCACCGAUCCGCCCGAGGAUGGGCCGGCGGCCUAUCAGGUAGUUGGCGGGGUAACGGCCCGCCAAGCCUAAGACGGGUAGGGGCCGUGAGAGCGGGAGCUCCCAGAUCGGCACUGAGACAAGGGCCGAGGCCCUACGGGGUGCACCAGGGGCGAAACCUCCGCAAUGCGGGAAACCGUGACGGGGGGACGGGGAGUGCCCUGGGUCACCCCAGGGCUUUUGCCGAGUGUAAACAGCUCGGCGAAUAAGCGGUGGGCAAGA
rnacentral:rRNA from 1 species